rnacentral:lncRNA from 1 species
AGGGCAUUUAUCCCUAUGAAGGAUGUCAAAUACUUUCUUCUAAUAUAUGUUUAGACAUAUUGCAGAGGGGUCCUUGUUAUUUGUAAUUGAGUUAGGUCAUUUACUUUGUGUCUGGUCUCACCUGUUGCAUGGGAAGAGGACAGCACUGAUGAGCUGCAUGUAGUAGGUACCUGUGUAUCAAGAACUGUUGGUAUGUAUUGCUAAUUUGCAUACAAAGAGUUUGUCUGCAUUGUACAGUUUCUGUGUUUAAUAUCAUUUGUUGUAUUCACAAAUACAACAUAUUGAAUAAAAUAUUUAUAUGAAGGCAUAUUCAAAAACAUCAAACAACUUUAUGUAACAAAAUGGCAUUGCAUUACCCACCAAUAUAGAGAAAUGUCAUGUAAAUAAGUUGGUAAACUCAAUUUCCCCCUUUACCAUGCCAAAGAAAAUUUUAGCUCUUUGAUGAUACCUCUCUUGCUAUUUGUUUGGGAUAAGACUUCACCAUUUUUUCCCCUCAGAAAUUAAGUUUGCUGUUAUUAAGUAAGUGCAAUCUGUCACUACUGAUGUUCCGUAUAGUAAAUCUGAUGGAAUUCAUUUGUAUUUAAAGACCGUGUGUUUUGUACCUCCAUGUGCAUAUGUCCAUUGUAUCAAGUCUCUAUAAUACUCCAUUCCUUCUGCAUGCAUAUCUGGUGUGGGAGGGUUAUUUCUACUGAUUUGUUAUAGUUGCUGAUUGCUUUGCCAGUCCCUCAACAAUGCUCGGAAAUGUCAAUUGUUUUGAUAUUUCAAGUGACAACAUUUUUGUUUUCUAAUAUAAGAUUGCUUUUUAAAACAUUUUGCUACCACUUUACUUGGAAAAAUUAGAGAAGACAUGCAAAUUCUCCACCCUAUGUAAAGAGCAAAAUGGAACUGAGCAUUAUUUCAUUACAAAUCCUGAAGAAUUUGGAGAUUCCUGCUCUAAAUGUUUGCUUGUCCUGAAUGUUUUUGGGUAGGAGUGGCUUAAAGAGAUACACAAUGGGUCCAAAGGACUCCUGCUCCAGUUCUUCUAAUAGUUUGCCUCUUGGGGAGCAAGCGGAGAUUCUUUAUCAUACCUAGCCACUUGCUUAAUGCUUUAAGCACUAAAAGUUAUUUUUAUCAGGAUAAACAAUAUCAGAUUUGGUUGUCUUUAAAAGCAAAAACCAAAAACUUCUUAUUCUUUAAGUUAGACAUGUAUCACUUCAUUUAAAAUUAUCCCCCUAAUAUCAUAUAGAUCAUUAACAUUUGAUACAUAAUCAAGAAGAGACCACAUUGACUAACAUUCAGUUGAGACGAAGAUGAAAAAAUAAUUGAAAUUUUUUUUUCCAUUUUAGUUCAGAACAAGGCUAUAUCGAGGGAAAGUGAUUGGGCUAAAUCCUCAAUAUUUUUUUUCCAAAAUGCAGGCAUAUCAAAAUCCAGGAUGUACAUUGUCUUACUUUGAGGGAAAUAGUAGUCAUAGCUUAGGUUUCUUAGCCUACAAUGUGGCACAUAGGGCCUUUCACUCUCUUGAAUACGGAGUAGGGUUUCAAAGUGUUGACAGUUGAGUCUGCAAACUAAGCCUGAGUUAUAUUUUAGUUUUUUUUUUUUCUUGGUUUUCACUAAGUCUAAUUCCAAUAUCUACUGGCAGAGAUUGUAUUUGCAUUUGAAGUACUGGAGGGCAGUACUUCCAAAGUGCUGUUGGAAUCCAGAUAAACUCAAGGAGCCCAGAAAGACAAUGGGUAUAAUGGCUCUCCUCUCAUGACUUAGCACUUUAGUUGACUUUUUUGAAAAAGUAAUUGGGUAGAAUACCUCAGUGAUGAUUUGCCAAACAAGCAGGGUUAGUGCCAACACCUUCUCUAAACUUGUUGCAUCUCUUCCAAUUGACAUUAAUCCCACAGCAGCUUCCUAAAAACAGGAAAAAGCCAAUGAGAUUUGCUUCUUUUCUCUCACCCAUUACAAGUUUGUUCUUGCCCUGCUUGUUUUUAGGAGGGAGUUUCUAUCGUAGAGUUGAAAAAGUACAAAAUCAUAUUUAAAAAGGAAAGAGUCUAUGUCUUUACAUGUAACUAUUUUAUUUUUUCCAAUCUAAAUUCAAUCACUUCUUAACAGAUAUAUUGGUGUUUGCAUUGCUGGCAUCAAAACCACACAUACAUACACACACACACACAUACACACAAAGAAACAUAGGGGAUAGAAAUAAGUAAAAAUAAAAUAUUUCUAUUUUCAAAGAAAAAGCAUUCCUUAGAGUUUAGGUACCAUGAAACUUAUGCUAUAAUACAGUUCCAGUACUAUGGUUUCCAACUAAAUGAACACUAGAACAGAGCUGACUAUAUUUUCAUCUUUGAACUUUUAGUAGAGAUGGAGUUUCACCAUCUUGGCCAGGCUGGUCUUGAACUCCUGACCUCAUGACACACCUACCUUGGCCUCCCAAAGUGCUGGGAUUACAGGCAUGAGCCACCAUGCCUGGCCUAUUUUCAUCUUUGUCCUAAAUUUUAGAUGAGUCACAUUUUGAACUUUAUGGUAUGAUAAUUUCUCCAAUAUCUAAAUUCUUUUUCUGAAAAAACAAAUGCUGAGGACAUUUUUGACACUCUUACAUGAGACUAUGAAAAAGAGCAGCACUUUUGUUGUAGUUGUUGUUGUUAAUAAAAAGGAUAAUAACAUACAGAGGAUUAUAAGAAAAAUAAGACACACCUGA